CGUAGGGUGCGAGCGUUAAUCGGAAUUACUGGGCGUAAAGCGUGCGCAGGCGGUCUGCUAAGAGAGAUGUGAAAUCCCCGGGCUUAACCUGGGAACUGCGUUUCUAACUGGCAGGCUUGAGUGUGGCAGAGGGGGGUGGAAUUCCACGUGUAGCAGUGAAAUGCGUAGAGAUGUGGAGGAACACCGAUGGCGAAGGCAGCCCCCUGGGCUAACACUGACGCUCAUGCACGAAAGCGUGGGGAGCAAACAGGAUUAGAUACCCUGGUAGUCCACGCCCUAAACUAUGUCAACUGGUUGUCGGGGAAGCAAUUCCUUGGUAACGAAGCUAACGCGUGAAGUUGACCGCCUGGGGAGUACGGCCGCAAGGUUA
rnacentral:rRNA from 1 species